CCUACGUGUGGCAGCAGUGAGGAAUAUUGGUCAAUGGGCGGGAGCCUGAACCAGCCAAGCCGCGUGAAGGAAGAAGGCGCCAAGCGUCGUAAACCUCUUUUGUCGGGGAGCAAAAAGGCCUCGUGAGGCCACAAGUGAGAGUACCCGAAGAAAAAGCAUCGGCUAACUCCGGGCCAGCAGCCGCGGUAAUACGGAGGAUGCGAGCGUUAUCCGGAUUUAUUGGGUUUAAAGGGUGCGUAGGCGGAAUGCCAAGUCAGCGGUAAAAUCGCGGGGCUCAACCUCGCUCCGCCGUUGAAACUGGCGUUCUUGAGUGGGCGAGAAGUAUGCGGAAUGCGUGGUGUAGCGGUGAAAUGCAUAGAUAUCACGCAGAACUCCGAUUGCGAAGGCAGCAUACCGGCGCCCAACUGACGCUGAAGCACGAAAGCGUGGGUAUCGAACAGGAUUAGAUACCCUGGUAGUC
rnacentral:rRNA from 1 species